UGGCGCGGAGACCCGGGGCUGCCAGCCUUCCCGCUAGUCCUCCCGCGUGUCCGCCGCGCCCCGGGCGGGGUGGGGGUGGGGUGGCGCCCCGAGUGUCCCCGAUCGCCUCAGCCUGCGCCCCAGCCCGCCCCGCAGAGGUCUCAGCCGCCCAUACCUGCAGCAUCCGGGGGCGCCGGGCGCCCAGGUGGCCAUGUCGAUGAGAAGACGAGCUCUUAGUCCCAGAGACUCAUCCAAGUGUGGAGACACCAAGCAAAUUGUCACAACAGCAUGAUUCUGUUGUAACCCCAGGAGUCUGCAGCUGUGGACCAGUGGAGAUGCCGGGAUGAUUCCAGGGCCCUGAAGCCUUGCCAAGACUCGUGAGAGGGAAACCGGACACCAGAGACCCUGGGCAGCCUAUGCCGUCCCUGCCGAGUGUGAGGCUCACUCUGGUGCAUGUCACCUUGUCCCUGAGAUGCCGUGGAUUGUGUUAUUUGUGUUUCACCUUCACAUUACAGGUGAUGUCUUAUCUACGGAGCACGUCACUGUGCAGCUCAAAAGGGCACUCCUUAAAGGUGCACCUCAAAUAGUAAAGCCGGAACUUAAAAAGAAAUGAAGAAACUUUCCUUGGGUGGGAGAAUGGAUAAGGUAAUGAGUCCUAUGGAUUACUAGGAAGUUUAAAAAAUAACUUCACAGGGCUGGAGAGGUGGUCCAGUGGUUAAGAGAGCCGGCUGCUCUUCCAGAGGACAAGAGUUAGAUUCCUGGCACCCCCAUGGUGGCUCACAUCCAUCUGACUCCAAGGACCUGACGGCCGCUUCUGGCCUCCUUGAGUACCACAUGUACA